AUAGGAACCCCUUGCUUCCGUGGGUAUGGCAGGCGCAACGGUGAACGCAGGAGGAAAUCCGUGCGUGGUUGCAUCGUCAGCCAGGACCUCUCGGUUCUCAACUUGGUCAUUGUCAAGAAAGGAGACAAUGACCUCCCCGGACUGACCGACACCGAGAAGCCAAGGAUGAGGGGACCAAAGAGGGCAUCCAAGAUCCGCAAGCUCUUCAACCUAUCGAAAGAGGAUGAUGUCAGGAAGUAUGUCAACACAUACAGGAGAACUUUCACAGCCAAGAACG
rnacentral:lncRNA from 1 species